rnacentral:pre_miRNA from 1 species
CUUGUACUCCCUCCGUUCCGAAUUACUUGUCGCGAAAAUGGAUGUAUCUAGAUGUAUUUUUGUUCUAGAUACAUCCAUUUCCGAGACAAGUAAUUCCGAACGGAGGGAGUAAGUA